CGGCGCGGAGGCCCCGCGGCUCCGCGAUCUCGUCGGGGGCAGCGGGAGGCCGAACGGGCGGCGCGGCGCGGGGGCCGACGGGGGCGCGGGGAGGCCGCGCCGGAAGUGCCCCAACCGCGGGAGGAAGCGCAGCGGACGCCGAGCUGCCGAGCCGGCGGGAAGGCCCUUCGCUCCUCCGCCGGACGCGGGCUACCGGGAGCAGGCAGCAGCGGCCCCGAGGCUGCGGGACACGGCGCGGCCAGUCCCCGGGACGGGCCCGGCCUGGGGUGGAGGCCGCUCCGAGGCUAGACGGCGAGAUCGGUAGCCCCGAAGCCCGGGCCGAGGCAGAGCCUCCACAUGGCCUCCGGAGGGGGUGCGGCCUUCGAGGAGCUGCCGCACGACGGCACGUGUGAUGAGUGCGAGCCCGACGAGGCUCCGGGGGCCGAGGAAGUGUGCCGAGAAUGCGGCUUCUGCUACUGCCGCCACCACGCGGAGGCGCACGGGCAGAAGUUCCCCAGACACCAUCUGGCCGAGUACGUUCACUGCGCUGCCCAGGCCUGGACCCCGGGAGCCCGCGGAGAUGGGGCCGGGGAGGAAGCAGUCGAGGCCCCGGUGGAGAAUGAGAAAGCCCUAGAAAACGAGGCGGGGGAAGGGAGCGAGUCCGAGGAAGACAGUGAGCCCGAGGAAGAGAGCGAGACAGAGGAAGAGAGCGAGGACGAGAGCGAGGAAGACAGUGAGGAAGAAAUGGAGGACGAGCAAGAGAGCGAAGCCGAGGAGGACAACCCGGAAGAAGGAGAAUCUGAGGCCGAGGGAGAAACGGAGGCGGAAAGCGAAUUUGACCCUGAAAUAGAAAUGGAAGCAGAGAGAGUGGCCAAGAGGAAGUGUCCGGACCAUGGGCUUGAUUUGAGUACCUAUUGCCAGGAAGACAAGCAGCUCAUCUGUGUGCUCUGCCCAGUCAUUGGGGCUCACCAUGGCCAUCACCUCUCCACCCUCGAUGAAGCCUUCGAGGAACUAAGAAGCAAAGACUCAGGCGGACUGAAGGCGGCUAUGAUAGAGUUGGUGGAAAGGUUAAAGUUCAAGAGCUCAGACCCUAAAGUAACCCGGGACCAGAUGAAGAUGUUUAUACAGCAAGAAUUUAAGAAAGUUCAAAAAGUGAUUGCGGAUGAGGAGCAGAAGGCCCUUCAUUUAGUGGACAUCCAGGAAGCAAUGGCCACAGCUCAUGUGACUGAGAUACUGGCUGACAUCCAGUCCCAUAUGGAUAGAUUGAUGACUCAGAUGGCCCAAGCCAAGGAACAACUUGAUACCUCUAAUGAAUCAGCUGAGCCAAAGGCGGAGGGCGACGAGGAAGAACCCCGGUAAGAUCACAUUACUGUGGCUUGUGUGUUCUCAGAAUUGAAGUAGAGUGACAUUUGUGGCCUUUGAAGGCCCGUGAAAUAUGACCAGCCAAGGAACAGCACAGAUAAGGGAUCUCCAUCUUAAGCCAGGGGCUUUGAAGAUCUUAUUUUUGGCGCCGAUGAAGACUAGGGCGCAUGAAGGCCCGCCCUCCCCGGUGCAACACCCCCCUUCCCCUUGCGUGUAUGUGAAGGCGUGUGUGCAGCGGCUUCUGACCCCGGUGGAGGCUGCCCGGCAAGCAACGUGGUUCCGCCAGAUGCGUCCCCAGGCCCGCAGCAGGCACAGAGCUCUCCAAGGAGUGGCCAGCUUUACUGUUACUGACCGUGCUUCCCAUUCUCUUGUCGUGGUAGGAAAAGGAAAAGUGCCCCCAUGCUCCACCAGGAGCAAUUACAGGGUCCUCAGGUCAUUCCCCCAACAGCUGCUUUGAACUUCCUCAGGAAAGCCAGUCCCUGUAACAGUGUAUACCCAAACAGUAUCACUUCAUUAAGAAGGAGCUGAAAUCAUCUUGAAGGGCAGUCAGGAUUUGUUUCCCUCUGUGCUAAUGACCCCCCACUUUAUUCAUAUCGAAGCAUGGAAUAAAUGAGGGGGAAAGUAGGGCUGAAUCAACCCAUGUAAUUAGUCUCUACAAGUCCAAUUAUACAUCUGUGAAAAUGUGGUUUCAUGAAAUAAGACGGAUGGCUUGAAAACCGACAGAGUUAAAAGUUAGAAAUAUAUAAAGAUAUUUUUCGUACGUGAGGUUAUCCUGGACUUCAGAUUCAUAAUUCAAUCCUGUGGAAAUGAAAAAAAAAAAAAGAUUGAAGAGGUAGAAAGGAAAUGACUUUAAAAAAAAAAAAAAAAAGAGGGGAGACCAAAAAGAUCUGAUUAAAAGUUGAAAUAGAAAUAAAUAUUUCUGAACUCAAAUUGCCUAGGUUUCCAAAAUAGUCAGUAAAGGAUCUGAUGGAACCUGAAUUAUUUGAGUGGAUUCUGAGGUUUUAUGGGUCUCGCCACAUCAUGAAAGUCUGGAAUGUGUGUCACAAAUGGGAAUUUGCACUGUAGGUUUUGCUCCUCUUCCCCUAGCUUAGCCUGAUUUGGCUUCAGUGCAGAGUGGGGAGGAUACUUGGCCCUCUGGUGUGUGAAUUGAGCUCCACCCCCUGGCAGACAGACCUUCCUUUCACUCCAGGGGAGGACCCCUCCGGCCCGGCACUCCCCACCUCUAGAUCAUCUCCCACCCCCUGCCUCUCCCCUCUUACACGCUGUGAGCGGAGACUCCCCGUGGUUGGACUCUGGCCUCUCCCCACUCCCAAAUCACAUUUCCUUACAGCCAAGCUUUUUACUCCCAAGUAAGCAGUGAUGUACUAGGGAACACAGAACUGUAAACUGAAAAGCAUGCAUCUUCUAGCAGCAGUUUUGACUUAACAAAUGUUUUGGAGUCAGGGAAUGAUGUUAUUUUCGGAUAAAACAAACACAGUUACAUUAUGAAAUAGAAUGUUCAUAUACAUAAACUGUAAAGAUAAAACGGGAGACUUCGCAGAGGACUUUUAUUUGCAAGUGGGCUGUGUGUUCCCCCUCCUCUGCCGUUAGUGGUAUUUGGGUGUUCACUUCUGAGAAGUACAAUUGGAACUGCACACAUCCAAGAGCCUUGGGGCUUCUGCUGACUCAGGACCCAGACUCCUAGUGCUUCUGAGGCAGAACCAAAGGAGCCUGCAUCGGGGGAUCUUCCUCUUUUCCUGCCUGCCUGCCUGUGACCUGUACACCUGUCAACAAAGCUUUAGGGCCAACUGAUGUGUGUGUGCAGAGUGGUUAUGAGGUAGAAAUAGUGCUUACUGUCGGAAUCCUGUUUAUAUCACUGUUCAAUCCUGUGCAUGCUAUGAAAUGACUGUUUCUUUGACUCCAGGAAGCUACCAGGCAUAUACACUUCUCAGUUAAGAGUACCCCAGCUCACUAAAUCAUGAGGGACACUGGGGGCUGAGAGUGGUUUGGGCUGUUUUUUUUUUUUUUUUUUUCUCUUAAACUGGUGGCCAACAAAUGGCUGAGACAUGUUCGGUGCUUUACCUUUCUGCCCACAAAAAACUGGAGAUUUUGGCAUACCACUAAUUAUAUCCCCCAGCCACAUCCAAUGCAACUACCUUUAAAGGAAGACCAGUGGCCAUUCUCAAAAAGAGUUUAAAAAAUCAGAAGAUUAAGAAGACUCUAGGAUUUAGAAGCUUGUGUUGUCUUUCCCAGUAAUCAUUGUUUAAUCUCCAAGAGGCAGCCUUAUCUUAGCAAUGGACAGCUUAUUGGCUCCUCCAUAACUGAUCAUAGGCUGUUACUUUAAAUCAGUAUUUGGGAAACCCAGGCAUUUAUGCAAUGGAUAUGAAUGGAAAUAUAAAAAUACAUACCAGCCUGUCUCAAUAAAUUAUUAUAUCUCUAUAAUGCUCGAGGAAAGCACUUUGGCUUUUACCUAGAAAGGAUUUCAGAUCUGCUUUAUGGGCUCCCGCUGUCUUCAGUACCUGAUAAAACUUUAACCAGGGACGCAUUAAACAUGGCACAGCAGCUUCUGCCCAGGCUCCUGAGUUCCUGCCGGCAGCAUCUAUCAACACAAGAGCUAGGAUGCUUCCGGCAGUGGUACCAGCUUCCCCAAAGCUGGAGCAGGCUGCUUGGCCCUCAGCCCCAGCACGAGGAGGCCGCCCUCCUACCAGGUCAGUCGAGUUGCUCCAAAUUGUGUCCUGCCUGGCUGCAGGGUUUGCAGACAUCCCUAUGGAGAAGUCAGCAAGGGAGACAGGUAAUGACUGUCUUCAGAAUGAAUUGGGUCCUCACAGCAAUCCCUGGAUGCCUUCCAAAAAUGUUGGGUAUCCGAGGCUAAGAGGAGGUCUGAUCUUUGAUUUGGUGUCAUUAAAUCCAGGGCAAUUCCAAAAAGUGCCUGGAGUCUCUGCUCUGACACCCCAAAAAGGGAAAUGAUUUUAAAUAUUGAGGACCCUGCACCAAGGCCCCAUUUCAGAUUUGUAGCUAAGAGUUAUUUGUUUUGAGUUACACAGCUAGGAAGUACGGGAGCCAGGUUUUUGUACCCAGCUCUUCCUAACUCGGCUGCUGCUGCUAAGUCGCUUCAGCCAUGUCCGACUCUGGGUGACCCCAUAGACAGCAGCCCACCAGGCUCUGCUGUCCCUGGGAUUCUCCAGGCAAGAACACUGGAGUGGGUUGCCAUUUCCUUCUCCCUUCUUAACUUUUAUGUAUCCCUAAAACACAGAAAAAGCUGUGGGUUCCCCUGCUACAGUCUGACCAUUCCACUCUAAGGAUUCUUUUUCACAGUGACAUUUCAUGGCAGUAGUUUGGGCCCAGAAAUGGCAUCAGGGUAGCCUUAUUCUUCCAGUUUAGCAGAUACAUUAAGUACAUGUUGCUAACUUGAGCCUGCCCCCAGGAAUGGGAGGAGGCCUUUCCUUUUUGGUGCCAUCCCUCAUAAAUAAGGGGGAGUUGAAGCCAUCUAGGCCAGUCACUGGGCUUCCCCAAUGGCUCAACUGGAAAAGCACCUGCCUGCCAAUGCAGGUCGAUCCCUGGGAGGAAAAGAUCUGGAGAAGGAAAUGGCAACCCACUCUAGUAUUCUUGCCUGGAGAAUCCCAUGGACAGAAGAGUCUGGCAGGCUACAGACCAGGCUCAAAGAGUCAGACACUACUGAGCAUGCACGCAGCCCAUAAAUAAAGUGUUUCUAGGCCUUUAGGAGUGUGGAACUUCUCAGAAAUAGUGAAAGUGAGCAGUGUUCUGCUCUCUAUUUGAAAAUGCCUGCUGCUGCAAAGGAAAUCUUCAUAUUCUAGUAAACCUAGCUAGUCUGUGCCCUGUGAGGAUGUGGCAAUUCAAAGUCCAGUGAAUAUAGACGUCCCUACAAAUACCUGAUGUGUAUAUGUACACAUACACGCACUCUCAGUUUAACAAGCAAGGGAACUGCAGAGCAGUCCCCUCAUUAUCUUACAUACCACGCAGAGGUUCCUGCCAGCUCUGAUCACAAGCGCCACCAGGUAAUGGAGCUGUGGUGCUUGCUCAAGAGAUGCUUAUAGGAAGAGCAGUGCCUCGGCAAAGGUUGUCAGCUCCUAAAGCUGAGCCAAGGUGACAGCCCUGAAGGAAUUUACACUCCAGCCCUACUCCAGGAUGUCUAAUGAUAUGGGAAAUUUGGAUACCCAGCCAUUUCGGUGACCUGAGAGUCUGAACACUCCAGUCAGGCCUGAGGGCAUGGCUGAAGAAUUCAUAACUGGUAAGAGUGGUAGGGCUUAGGGAGCUCUUUCCUCCACUUAGACAAUAUGCUCUUGCCCAUACCUGAAAUUGGCACACUCACAUCAUAGCUGUUUGACACAUGCUUUUCCAUAAGAAAAUCAGUUGCAUGUUUACUAUGUGCCUAGCACAUCUAAAAUCUCCUGUUUAAAAAACAAAUCAAUCUCAUUAUGAGUGGACUCAGCCUAGCCCUGAGAAAAACAAACCAGAAAAGGGCCUACAGAGGAGACUUUAGAUCUCAUUAAUACUGCCUUAUCCAACAGUGUGUUGGAAGCCCCACUCCAGCUCAUUCCAAGAGCUCUAAGGCCCGAGAACACACCAGAAACAGCAGAACAGGUGCCGGAGCCGGAAAAUAAAAAUGAAUUAAUUACAAGACUUGUGGUAUACUGGUACAGAAAUGCCACAGGGCCGGGUCAUAUCAUGCUGGGCUUGGUAUGACCUUGAGGGGACAGUGGAUUUAUACUCCAUGGGAGUAUUAGCGACCAGUCUUUCUACAGUGACUACAUGGAUGGGGAGAACCAACGAAUCCAUCGUCCUCUGCCUGUUUACUUGCACACUGCCACAUUCCCUCCUCAGUCAUCUUCCCCUUUCACCCUUUACAUUAAACAAGGGAACACUCAAUCUUUCAAGGGAAUUAUACGUUUGAGUUAAUGUUGCAGUAUAUCAUUUUCUUGCUGUAAAUUAUUUUGUAAGAGAGAUUUACCGCUAUCCCAGGAUGUUUGGACUCGGUGCCCCUGUGCAUUUGGAAAUCAAUAAACUAUUCCUGGAAACACCA